UACGAAGGGGACUAGCGUUGUUCGGAAUCACUGGGCGUAAAGCGCACGUAGGCGGAUAUGUCAGUCAGGGGUGAAAUCCCGGGGCUCAACCUCGGAACUGCCUUUGAUACAGCAUAUCUUGAGUCCGAUAGAGGUGGGUGGAAUUCCUAGUGUAGAGGUGAAAUUCGUAGAUAUUAGGAAGAACCCCGGUGGCGAAGGCGGCCCACUGGAUCGGUACUGACGCUGAGGUGCGAAAGCGUGGGGAGCAAACAGG
rnacentral:rRNA from 1 species